rnacentral:rRNA from 1 species
AUUGAACGCUAGCGGGAUGCUUUACACAUGCAAGUCGAACGAGUGGCGGACGGGUGAGUAAUAUAUCGGAACGUGCCCAGUGGAGGGGGAUAACUACUCGAAAGAGUGGCUAAUACCGCAUACUAUCGGAGCGGCCGAUAUAGGAUUAGCUAGUUGGUGGGGUAAAGGCUCACCAAGGCAACGAUCCGUAGCUGGUUUGAGAGGAUGACCAGCCACACUGGGACUGAGACACGGCCCAGACUCCUACGGGAGGCAGCAGUGGGGAAGUUUGGACAAGGGGGGAAAGCCUGAUGCAGCCCUCCCGCGUGUAUGAGAAGGCCUUCGGGUUGUAAAGUACUUUUUGCAGAGAGGUGUUAUUCGCAGAAUAAGCACCGGCUAACUACGUGCCAGCAGCCGCGGUAAUUC